GUGCUUUGCAGAUUUGCAGACUUCUUCCCUUGCUCCGCCGCAAGGAACAAACGGCUUGUUGCUUUGUCGAGAUCACUUUCCCUGCUGUCGAGAUGGUGGUGACGAGUGGACGAAAGAGCCGCUGUUUCGACAGGACGAAUGCAGUGUACUCUUACUCCCUCUGCUGCUAUCGCUGCGGCAGUGCAAGGUAGGAUGGGAAAGCACCGUUAAGACAAACACGGCAAGAGGGAAACGAGUGGGAGACAAGACAAGCAACGGAACUGGCUGGACAGAGCUGUUCUUGGGAGUCUGGAGCCUCGCUCAUCAUCAGGUUAUCGCCAUAGUCUCGAUUGACAAAAACUUCACAGUUCAUUGAAUCUUUGGUGGUGGUUUGUGAAGUACUCUACGAUGAUUCUCUCUACGAGAAUGCCAAGAACAUCACAAGCAAGCGUAGCUAAGAAAUGAUUUGUUGCUCACGACGCUGCAUAAUAGAUAUCAUUGAAAGCCA